UCUGGUUUUAAUGUAACCAUUAUUUGGGUGGAAAUUACAAAUUACCCAAUGAAUUUCCUUAAAUAAAUUUCAUUUUGGGGGGCUUUCUAUGUCCAAUUUCAUCAUUCCUCAACAAUGUUUCCUUACUGAUUGCUUAUCACGAUGUUCUGUUUUCACUUUUUCAUUUAUAUUUAAUUUACAAACCAAACCUAUGCAAUCAAUCAAACAACUUUUCUAUUAACAAUCUAUCAAACAUAUGCUUUGAGAUGCAUACAUCCAUCACUACUGUACCACUAUUUUACCUCACUCCCCAUUGCAAUUUUUUUUAAAUACUCUCUUUCUACUUUCAACUCCAAACUCAUUUUCUUCUGCUUUUCCAUUUUCCUCUCUAGGUGAUAUCAAUUUUCAUCAUAGAGAACAGAUCUAUAAAAUAUUGUGGGUAGGAUUAUUGAUCUGGAGCCAAUAACAGAUCAAGGAGUUGCAAAUCAGAAAAUCAUAAUUAUUUGAUCUCCAAAGAUGUCCUAUCACAUUGGCUAUAAUGAAUGAACAAUUAUUUCCUAGCAUAAAGUUAUCUCUAUGAACUAUGUGUUGAAUUGUAAUUCCUUAUGUUAAAGCAGGUAGUGCUCCACGGAAAACAAGGAUGUGCCGAAACAUGUAGUGUGUGUCGAGUUGUAUUAGAUGUCGAAGUGUCAAAUCAGGUUGCUUGACACAGGAUUUCGACUUAGACCAAAAUAUGUAUUUUGGGCCUUUGUAAUUUUUGGGUUUUAACUUAGGGAGCAAGCUACCUCAAUUAUAAAUAGAGGGAGUAACCCCUAUUUUCAUAACAAUUUUGUAAUCACUUGUAGUUGCAAAAUUAACGAGAUUUUCCACCAACUAUGGGUAGAGAGACUCUUGAGAAAUCAUCUUCUUCCCUAAUUUCCAUCAAACCCUAA